GUGUCCUGAGAUUCCUGUGUUCCCAGUGGUUUUUGUUCAAAAGGGUGGAGAGGAGAGAGCAGCCAGAGGCCUUGGAGGAGCCUGAGUGCCAGCAGAUAAUGCAGCAAGGCCAGACAGACGGUCAUAUUGUUGGUUCUUGCAGGCAGAGAGAGAAUGCCAGAACAAGGGAGGAAGAUGCAAGAUGGACAAAAACAAAGUCAAUCUGGCAGACGUCUUUCACCAUAGGCUAUGUCUGGAAUCGUCUGCACCUUUAGCAGUGAGGAAAUACUUCAUCAUAUUGUGAAACAAAUAUUAUGUCAUCUGCACCCAGCAGAGAGUAACAGCCCAAAGAAUGUUUCCCAUGAUGUGAUAUUCAGUCUCUCCAUGUGGUGCCUAUGGAGCUAACCAAACACAGAUCCUGCCAGCGUGGGGUCAGAAGACCGCCCGGACCUCCUGCCCCCCACCAUUAUGGACAACAGACCUCUCGUGCUCCCCAGAGGAUGAAGCCAGCAGAUGUCUCUGAAUCAUUUUGGCCAAAGACCCAGAACGAACGCUGGUGUAAUUAAUGAGGAUGUUUGGAAUUUGAAUCUGGGCUUUGUCCAGCCGACACACAGGGAGCGUCAUUGUUUGGGAACAGGUCAGAACUCCAACCCUUUCUAGAUGUGUCCUGUUAUGAGUUUAUUUUGAAAGCAUCAAUACAUUUGCAAGUAAAGUCCAGAUGUUGCCUGAAGAACCACAGAUACAUGAGAAGAUGAUGAAUUAAUAAUACAUAAAAUAAGUUAAAUUACAGGAGAGAAAACAAUAUAAAUGUUUUCUAACAAUGUCUGUAUGCAGCUCUGUGUGCACUGCUUUAUGUAAGCAGGGUCUAGCCAGUCCAGACACUACAGAGAGAAGGGGCACCUAGGGACAAAGACAGGCUGGAAACACCCUCAAUUAUCAUGAGAAGUAAAGGCUGGGGUGAAGGGGUGUGUGUGUGUGUGUGAGAGGGGGGUCAACCCAUCAUUAAGAUGCUGUGUGUCCACUGCAUGAGCUACAUGCAUGCAGACAAAGAGCCAGCAGCCCCGCUGGAGUUGGAGUUGGACUGCCAUAACCUCUGCUUCGUUUCUGCCAGGCUCAGGAAGGAGGGGGAGGGGAACACUCCAUCAGAGGCAGCCUAUCAGAUCCAAUUAGACACCACAACAUUACAGAGUGGAACCAAGCCAAAGUGAAAGGGGAGAAGAUGUGGCUGUCGCUUGGGAACCGUCUUUUCAUGCCUCUAUUAUCGUCACAGUUGAGUUAAAGAGCUGACACUUUUUUGGUAAAAGGUGAAUUUCUGCACAUCUCUUAAAAAACAACUAAUCAGAAGGGAUGUUUUAAACUUUAGAAUUAUAAAAAAUCUGCAAAAUGAAGACUUUGAACCCUU